rnacentral:sRNA from 1 species
UGUAGGGAGGGUGAGAGCCCUCGACAGGGUUCGCACAGCGGCGAAGCCGCGCAACGUCGGCUUGCCGACGGCCCCGAAGGGGUGAGGAACGAAGUGACGAAUCAUCCCUCCCUCACCGCC